AACGAACGCUGGCGGCAUGCCUAACACAUGCAAGUCGAACGAUACCUUCGGGUCUAGUGGCGCACGUGUUCGUAACGCGGGGGAACCUGCCCUUAGGUUCUGAAUAACUCCCCGAAAGGGGUGCUAAUACCGGAUAAUGUCUUCGGACCAAAGAUUUAUCGCCUUGGGAUGGGCCCGCGUUGGAUUAGCUAGUUGGUAGGGUAAAAGCCUACCAAGGCGACGAUCCAUAGCUGGUCUGAGAGGAUGAUCAGCCACAAUGGGACUGAGACACGGCCCAGACUCCUACGGGAGGCAGCAGUGGGGAAUAUUGGACAAUGGGCGAAAGCCUGAUCAAGCAAUGCCGCGUGAGUGAUGAAGGCCUUAGGGUUGUAAAGCUAGUUUACACGGGAUGAUAAUGACAGUACCGGGAGAAUAAGCACCGGCUAACUACGUG
rnacentral:rRNA from 1 species